UACACUCCUGCGGGAGGCAGCAGUAGGGAAUCUUCGGCAAUGGGGGCAACCCUGACCGAGCAACGCCGCGUGAGUGAAGAAGGUUUUCGGAUCGUAAAGUUCUGUUGUAAGUCAAGAACGAGUGUGAGAGUGGAAAGUUCACACUGUGACGGUAGCUUACCAGAAAGGGACGGCUAACUACGUGCCAGCAGCCGCGGUAAUACGUAGGUCCCGAGCGUUGUCCGGAUUUAUUGGGCGUAAAGCGAGCGCAGGCGGUUUGAUAAGUCUGAAGUUAAAGGCUGUGGCUCAACCAUAGUUCGCUUUGGAAACUGUCAAACUUGAGUGCAGAAGGGGAGAGUGGAAUUCCAUGUGUAGCGGUGAAAUGCGUAGAUAUAUGGAGGAACACCGGUGGCGAAAGCGGCUCUCUGGUCUGUAACUGACGCUGAGGCUCGAAAGCGUGGGGAGCGAACAGGAUUAGAAACCCCGGUAGUCCCAUGAU
rnacentral:rRNA from 1 species